GCUUUUUGCCUUUUCUAGGGCCGCUCCUGCGGCAUAUGGAGGUUCCCAGGCCAGGGGUCUAAUCAGAGCUGUAGCCACCGGCCUAUACCACAGCCACAACAAAGCCAGAUCCAAGCCGCAUCUGUAACCUACACCAUGGCUCAGGCAAGGCUGGAUCCUUAAUCCACUGAGCAAGGCCAGGGAUCGAACCCGCAACCUCAUGGUUCCUAGUCGGAUUCGUUAACCACUGCGCCAUGAUGGCAACUCCUUCUGUAGUGAUUUCUGAUGGACAAAAUUUAAUUUAAUGAAGUGCAAUGUGUCAAAGAUUUUACAACUUGUGACUUCGGGUUACUUUACCUGUCUUAUAAAGGUCUCUCCUAUUCAGAGACUAUGAAAUAGCACCUCCUUUUUCUCCUCGUAUUAUAUUGUUUUAUUUAAGGCAUAACUUUUGCACAAGGUAGGAGGAAAGGAGCGGACUUAGUUUUGUUCCAUGAAUUUCCAUUUAUGCCAGCAUCCUUUAUAAAUAAGCCACUUUUUGUUGACAGACACAAAACACCUCUUUUGUCAUGUGUUAAUCCAUAUAUACUUUGAUCCACAUCUGAAAUCUCUCUUUGUUUCCACUAAUCUUCUUGGCUUUUUAAAAAUUCCACUCUAUGCGUCAGCAAGAGCUGAAGCAGUGUAUAAAGUGCCAGGCUCUCUUAUUCUCUGGAAGAAUAUGACUUACUGUGGCCUCUUUUACUUCGGAUCAGAUGACUUGAUAAUUCUAAUUAGUUCACAUGUAUAAGAGUUAAGAAUUUUAUUCAAAUGCGAUUCUACCAAAUGAUGCAUAAUACAGAAAACACAGUAUACUUGAGUGAACAAUACAAAGUGAAUAGUCAAGUAAUUUUAUCACCUUGUGCUAGCAACUUAUUAUGCUAUUUCUUGAAGAUGAUUUAAAUUCACUGGUCUUGAGGUAUAAGCAUAACUUUUUUACUGUUAUAAUUAACAUACAAUAUUAUAUUUCAGGUGUACAACGUAGUGAGUCAAUAUCUUUAUCCAUUAUGAAAAGAUGAAGUGAUCACUGAAAUGAUCACUGUAAUAAAAGCAGUUAGCAUCUGUCACCAUACAAAUCUGUUACAAUAUUAUUGGUUCUAAUCCCUAUGUGUACAUUACAUCCCCAUGACUUAUUUAUCUUAUAGCUGAAGUAUGUGCCUUUUAAUCUUCUUUAUCUGUUUCUUCCGUCCCCUCACAACUCUCCCCACUGGCAACCACCAAUUUAUUUUCUGUAUCUAUGAAUCUAUUUCUGGAUUUUGUCAUUUGUUUAUUCAUUUGUCAAGAGACACAGUAUUUAUCUUUCUCUGACUUACUUCACUUACAUAAUACCUUCUAGGUCCAUCCAUGUUGUCACAAACGGCAGAUCGCACUCUUUUUUAUGGCUGAGUAAUAUUCCAUUGUAUACAUCACAUCUUCUUUGGCCAUUCAUGUGUCAAUGGACACUUAGGUUGAUUACAUACAUUGGCAAUUAUAAAUAAUGCUGUCAUGAACAUUGGGGUGUAUGUAUCUUUUUCAAUGAAAGUUUUGUCCAGAUAUAUGCCCAGCAGUGGAAUUGCUGGAUCAUAUGGUAGUUCUAUAUUUAGUUUCCUGAGGUUCUGCCAUACUGUUUUCCACAGUGGUUGUACCAGUUUACAUUCCUACCAACAGUGGAUGAGGGUACCUUUU
rnacentral:lncRNA from 1 species